rnacentral:sRNA from 1 species
ACCUGAGCGCCCUUCUGCCUGGAAAGUUUGUGGCUAGGCGCCAUGGCCAAGAGCAGCUCCCUGAAUGUUCGCGUGGUGGAGGGCCGCGCGCUGCCUGCCAAGGACGUGUCUGGGAGCAGCGACCCCUACUGCCUAGUGAAAGUGGACGACGAGGUGGUGGCCAGGACAGCUACUGUCUGGAGGAGCCUGGGCCCCUUCUGGGGGGAGGAGUACACGGUGCACCUGCCUCUGGAUUUCCACCAGCUGGCCUUCUACGUGCUGGAUGAGGACACUGUCGGGCACGACGACAUCAUCGGCAAGAUCUCGCUGAGCAGGGAGGCGAUUACAGCCGACCCCCGAGGGAUUGACAGCUGGAUUAACUUGAGCCGAGUGGACCCAGAUGCAGAAGUGCAGGGUGAGAUCUGCCUGUCAGUGCAGAUGCUGGAGGAUGGGCAGGGCCGCUGCCUUCGCUGCCAUGUGCUUCAGGCCAGGGACCUGGCUCCCAGAGACAUCUCUGGCACAUCUGACCCAUUUGCACGUGUGUUUUGGGGCAGCCAGAGCUUGGAGACCUCAGUGAGUGGUGGGGGAUGAAACCAGGAAGGAGUGGGGCAUUUGGUGGUGGGGCAGGAGUCCCCAUCAGCUCUCCCACUCACAGACCACUUCCUUCGCCCUCAGACCAUCAAGAAGACUCGCUUCCCGCACUGGGAUGAAGUGCUGGAGCUGCGGGAGAUGCCAGGUGCCCCGUCCCCACUGCGGGUGGAGCUCUGGGACUGGGACAUGGUGGGCAAGAAUGACUUCUUGGGCAUGGUGGAGUUCUCUCCAAAGACCCUCCAGCAGAAGCCACCUAACGGCUGGUUCCGCCUCCUGCCCUUUCCCAGAGCCGAGGAGGAUUCUGGGGGGACCCUGGGUGCCCUGCGAGUGAAGGUACGCCUGAUUGAGGACCGCGUCCUGCCCUCCCAGUGCUACCAGCCUCUCAUGGAGCUGCUCAUGGAGUCUGUGCAGGGGCCAGCAGAGGAGGACACUGCUAGCCCCUUGGCUUUGCUGGAAGAGCUGACCUUGGGGGACUGCCGCCAGGACCUUGCCACCAAGCUGGUGAAACUCUUUCUUGGCCGGGGACUGGCUGGGCGCUUUCUGGACUAUCUCACCCGGCGUGAGGUGGCUCGGACCAUGGACCCCAACACCCUCUUCCGUUCUAACUCCCUGGCAUCCAAGUCGAUGGAACAGUUUAUGAAGCUCGUGGGCAUGCCCUACCUGCACGAGGUCCUGAAGCCUGUGAUUAGCCGCGUCUUUGAGGAGAAGAAGUACAUGGAGCUGGAUCCCUGCAAGAUGGACCUGGGCCGCACCCGGAGGAUCUCCUUCAAAGGCGCACUCUCGGAGGAGCAGAUGCGGGAGACCAGCCUGGGGCUGCUGACGGGCUACCUGGGGCCCAUCGUGGACGCCAUCGUGGGCUCCGUGGGGCGCUGCCCGCCCGCCAUGCGCCUCGCCUUCAAGCAGCUGCACCGGCGCGUGGAGGAGCGCUUCCUCCAGGCAGAGCACCAGCAGGAUGUGAAGUACCUGGCCAUCAGCGGAUUUCUCUUCUUGCGAUUCUUCGCGCCUGCCAUCCUUACCCCAAAGCUGUUUGACCUUCGGGACCAACACGCGGACCCCCAGACUAGCCGCUCACUGCUGUUGCUUGCCAAGGCUGGAGUGCAGUGGCACGAUCUUGGCUUACUGCAACCUCUGCCUCCUCGGUUCAAGUGAUCUUCCCACCUCAGCUUCUGGAGUAGCUGGAUUUACAGGCGUGAGCCACCACGACCAGCUAAUUUUUGCAUUUUUAGUAGAGAUGAGGUAUCGCCAUGUUGGCCAGGCUGGUCACAAGCUCCUGACCUCAACUGAUCCGCUUACUUCGGCCUCCCAAAGUGCUGGGAUUACAGGCGUGAGCCACUGUGCCCGGCAAUAUGAGUCUUCUUUUAUUGAGCACUGAUUUGGGAGCCAGGAGGGGCCCUACCCUCUGCUGUGACCUUGGCCCCGGCAUCCCUCGCUUCUUUGCUCCAGGCUGUGCAGAGCAUCGGAAACCUGGGCCAGCAGCUGGGCCAAGGCAAGGAACUGUGGAUGGCCCCCCUGCACCCCUUCCUGCUGCAGUGUGUCUCACGUGUGAGAGACUUCCUGGACCGGCUGGUGGAUGUGGAUGGGGAUGAAGAAGCUGGUGUCCCAGCCAGGGCCCUGUUCCCGCCCUCGGCCAUUGUUCGAGAAGGCUAUCUGCUGAAGCGCAAGGAGGAGCCUGCCGGCCUGGCCACGCGCUUUGCCUUCAAGAAGCGCUACGUCUGGCUCAGCGGGGAGACCCUCUCCUUCUCCAAGAGUCCUGAGUGGCAGGCUGAAAUUGCUGGAGGAUUCUAACAUGGAUACAACUCUGGAGGCAGACACAGGGGCCUGUCCUGAGGUCCUGGCCCGGCAAAGAGCAGCAACUGCCCGCUUGCUGGAGGUGCUCGCAGACCUGGAUCGUGCCCACGAGGAGUUCCAGCAGCAAGAGCAAGGGAAGGCGGCCCUGGGCCCCCUUGGCCCCUAAGGAAAUGCCAGAGCUAGCCCGGAAGGAGGAGCAAGAG